rnacentral:rRNA from 1 species
GACGUAGGGUGCAAGCGUUGUCCGGAAUUAUUGGGCGUAAAGAGCUCGUAGGCGGUUUGUCGCGUCGAAUGUGAAAACCCGGGGCUCAACCCCGGGCCUGCAUUCGAUACGGGCAGACUAGAGUUCGGUAGGGGAGUCUGGAAUUCCUGGUGUAGCGGUGAAAUGCGUAGAUAUCUGGAGGAAUACCGGUGGCGAAGGCGGCAUCCUGGACCGGCAUUGACGCUGAGGAGCGAAAGCCAGGGGAGCAAACGGG